rnacentral:rRNA from 1 species
ACUUUCAACAACGGAUCUCUUGGUUCUGGCAUCGAUGAAGAACGCAGCGAAAUGCGAUAAGUAAUGUGAAUUGCAGAAUUCAGUGAAUCAUCGAAUCUUUGAACGCACAUUU